GGAGAGGUGGUCGAGUGGUUGAAGGCACCCGCCUCGAAAGCGGGCGAACGUUAACAGCGUUCCGUGAGUUCGAAUCUCACCCUCUCCG
rnacentral:tRNA from 1 species